rnacentral:piRNA from 1 species
ACAAAGAAUUGACUCUGAUGAGCU